rnacentral:rRNA from 1 species
GGGACCUUCGGGCCUCUUGCCAUCGGAUGUGCCCAGAUGGGAUUAGCUAGUAGGUGGGGUAACGGCUCACCUAGGCGACGAUCCCUAGCUGGUCUGAGAGGAUGACCAGCCACACUGGAACUGAGACACGGUCCAGACUCCUACGGGAGGCAGCAGUGGGGAAUAUUGCACAAUGGGCGCAAGCCUGAUGCAGCCAUGCCGCGUGUAUGAAGAAGGCCUUCGGGUUGUAAAGUACUUUCAGCGGGGAGGAAGGGAGUAAAGUUAAUACCUUUGCUCAUUGACGUUACCCGCAGAAGAAGCACCGGCUAACUCCGUGCCAGCAGCCGCGGUAAUACGGAGGGUGCAAGCGUUAAUCGGAAUUACUGGGCGUAAAGCGCACGCAGGCGGUUUGUUAAGUCAGAUGUGAAAUCCCCGGGCUCAACCUGGGAACUGCAUCUGAUACUGGCAAGCUUGAGUCUCGUAGAGGGGGGUAGAAUUCCAGGUGUAGCGGUGAAAUGCGUAGAGAUCUGGAGGAAUACCGGUGGCGAAGGCGGCCCCCUGGACGAAGACUGACGCUCAGGUGCGAAAGCGUGGGGAGCAAACAGGAUU